AGUGAACGCUGGCGGCGUGCCUAAUACAUGCAAGUCGAACGGAGUGGCGCACGGGUGAGUAAUAUAUAGCUAAUCUGCCCCUUGCUGGGGGACAACAGUUAGAAAUGACUGCUAAUACUCCAUAGCAAGGGAUGAGACUAUAUAGUAUCAGCUAGUCGGUGGGGUAACGGACUACCGAUGCUAUGACCCGUAACUGUUCUGAGAGGAUGAUCCCUAACAUUGGACCUGAGACACGGGCCAAACUCCUACGGGAGGGAGCAGUAGGGAAGAGUGCCCAAUGGGGGAAACCCUGAAGCAGCAACGCCGCGUGGAGGAUGACAAUUUUCGGAGCGUAAACUCCUUUUGUUAGGGAAGCGGUACCUAACGAAUAAGCACCGGCUAACUCCGUGCCAGCAGCCGCGGUAAUUC
rnacentral:rRNA from 1 species